rnacentral:pre_miRNA from 1 species
GGGGGGCAGGGAGCGUUCCUCAGCCUGGAUUGUGAGAGGACCCAGACCAGGCUGAGGGACCCCACCUGUGCAUG